GUGAUUCUUAUCUUUUCGUUCAAAGGGAGGGGGAGAAGCAAAGGCCAGCCUGCCAACUUUGUGAAUUGUUCUGCGGUUGUCAUGGCUUGCCUCUGUUGAGAGGCCAAACUGCUGCAGCAUUGCUUCCGUGAUGGAAGGUAUGAGACUCAGCCCGGAGGAAAUGAUGCGGAAGGAAACCUCAACAGGCACCGGCUAACAAACUGUCUUGGAACCUGGCCAAAGCCUGACAGUAAGAUUUGCUGGCUGAGAUAAAG
rnacentral:lncRNA from 11 species